rnacentral:rRNA from 1 species
UGGGGAAUAUUGCACAAUGGGCGCAAGCCUGAUGCAGCCAUGCCGCGUGUAUGAAGAAGGCCUUCGGGUUGUAAAGUACUUUCAGCGGGGAGGAAGGUGUUGAGGUUAAUAACCUCAGCAAUUGACGUUACCCGCAGAAGAAGCACCGGCUAACUCCGUGCCAGCAGCCGCGGUAAUACGGAGGGUGCAAGCGUUAAUCGGAAUUACUGGGCGUAAAGCGCACGCAGGCGGUAUGGCAAGUCGGAUGUGAAAUCCCCGGGCUCAACCUGGGAACUGCAUCCGAAACUGGCAGGCUUGAGUCUUGUAGAGGGGGGUAGAAUUCCAGGUGUAGCGGUGAAAUGCGUAGAGAUCUGGAGGAAUACCGGUGGCGAAGGCGGCCCCCUGGACAAAGACUGACGCUCAGGUGCGAAAGCGUGGGGAGCAAACA